AGCUUCAACCUGAACAGCGGCCUAAUCAGAUUAAGUGAAAACACCUGUGUGUUUUGGGCCACCGGAUGGCAGAACUCAAGAAGCUAAAGUUUUAUCACCGUGUCUAACUGUUUUGGCUAGCUAAGUUGUUAGCAUGCAGUUAUCUACUUACCAGCAGAUGUGGACCAGCAUUAACACUCGUGGAGAUGUGUUCCUGUCCACCUGAUGAAGGCCGACCCUGAUGUGCUGACCUGCAGUUCAGACUUGGCCCUGGAGGAGGAGAGAGGAGAAAAGGCCUUUGAAGUGAAAUGGAUUCCCAUCAGCCGAAGAGCUUCAACAAAGUAGCAGCUCAAAGCUCCGAGAUGGAAAGUGACAGCAGUAGGUGCUGACUCUGCAGCUCAUUAGAGACCAACAGGGAGUCCUAUGGCCUCCAACUAGUGAGGAGGAAGAGGAGAAGUCUGUGACCCAGACAUGAAGGAAGACGCUGGGAUGAGGAAGCUAACUCUGCCUGGGUCCCGCUCUGCACACUGUCUACUGCCUGACAGCUUCAAACAGCUAACCCUGCAUUUCUCCCACACUUUGUCUUCUGUGGGAAUAGCUUUCAGGGAUAAUUAGCAUACACUGUGAAUAUCGCUCUGACACUGUAACUUUAUUGAAUGACAACAAUACAUCUUAUAGAAAAUGAGCUCCAGUGAAAGCUUGUCAGUGUCAGUGUCAGUAGCAGUAAUAGCUUUUGAGAUACUAGAUUUUGCUUAUGUUGAGGUCAUCGUAUGUUAUGGUAAAGCUUCCGGAUGCAUACUAAUAAUAAUCAGGAUAUACUAUACAGUGCAUUAUGCCCCUAAUUUACUGAUUUGGGAGACCUAGGCAAACUCAGGCAUGGGGCCUCUGUCGUGUCUUAUUUUCACCCUUUCUCCAGGUGAGAAUGUUUGAAGGUGUUAGACUGUUAACACCAAACUGUAAAACCCUGCAUUCAAAAUUUUGCUUAGCUGAAAGUCAAGUAUCAACACAAUUUACGUAGAGUAUCUUCAAAGUGGAGCUAGUUUUGACUAAUUUAUAUCCUGCAGGAUAGUUUAAUCUGUAAUAAUGUUUUUAUUGUAUUUGUAUCAUAUAUUUUGUGCGUAACAUAUGAAUCUACCAAAUAACCAGUAACAAACUGAUAAAUGCAGUGGAAUGAGUGACCUCUGAAAAUGAAGUGGUGGAAUAGCAUCAUAAUUUCAUAUGUUUUAUAUCAUAAAACAUAACAAAACAUGAAGAUAAAUCUCUUUGUUGGGUGAAGUCUUCCUGUGACCAUGGCCAUAGAGGUUUAAAAACUCCUAUUCCCUGAUGUUUCCCUGCAGUUUGCCAUGAGUGUGACAUUAGUGUGGCUGGUAACACUAAACUACUUCAGGCAAAACCUGUAUAAAACAUGAUGAAGUCAUUGCUUUCUGUAAUACACAUUAACAAUAUUGAUGGCGUACCUCUUCAGCAUCUGCGACGUCUGCGAGGAUUACUUUCCCUUCAGGCAAUAAGUCAUAUCAAGGUAGACUAUUAUCACAAUCACAGCCGACAAAGUGCUGGAAUGGGAACUUGACCAGCUGUGAGCGGAGGAGAAUGUGACCACAGACAGAAAGUUUGAUAUUGUACCUUCAAGAGUUUGUUUUAAAUGAGAUGUGAGUGAGAUAUGAAAGUAGAUACUUAUAGUCGCUGUUUUCAUUUUCGAAAAAUGAGUAUGCCGAGUAUGAGAGAAAGUGAGAAGGAGCUGAUUGUGGCUGUAGUGAUUAGAGAACAAAUCAAAUGUCAUCGAUUUUUCCUCCAUAAAACAUCCUUUUAGUCAAGUUAAGAGUAUCAUUUGAUUUUAUUUCCAAAGUAAAAUUGCAUCCAUUUCGUGGGUCUCACAGAUAUCAGAUAUUUUACUUCAAUCAGGUAUCUGCAGCGGCUCCGCUGACAGCAAACUAUCACCUAUUGGAGAAAUUUGAAAGCAUAUUAUAACAAAAUUACACGCCAUGUAACAUUAUCCGGCAUAACUCAAUGUUCAGACACAUUUUAGGCUUCAGUUUGGCCUGAAGGUGCGAUGAUGAUCAAGGAAGUGGGUUGAAGAAGGUCUUUUAAGCCUUAAGGCAACUUAGGAGUUGAAACUUAAUAUUACCAGAGUGCAGAUGGAGAUAACAGACACGGAUGAGUUAGAGAAGUUUUUUCUUAUGGUUUGAGCCACUUGGGAUGUGUAACUCGACAUCAGGCAGAUUUUGUACAUUCAACGCAGUAGCAUACAGAUUUCCUCGUAACCUGGGUCUGAAUGGCAAAAUUACAGUUACAGUUUUAUAAGGUUCGAAGGAGUAAGAGUGGGGUUUAAAAGGUCAUCAGUUUCACAGAAGUGCUAUAAUUGCCCACAGGGGUAAUAAACUAUCAUAUAAAUAUACAGAUUAGAACGUAUUAGUUUGCUGCUCACUAAGAGUGACUGAUGUAGUCUGCAUUGGUGUUAAUUUCUGCUGCUGAAUACAGAGGAAGUUGCAUGAUUUGAUAGUGUAGACAAACGGGGACUACAAUGCACAUAUUAAAUCCUGGAUGAAACAAGAUUGUGGCUGAAAGCUCGCACAUGAUACGACGCAGAGAAAUGGAGAGCAGAAAACACGGAAAUGAGGCUGGAUUCAUAUUGGCAGCGCAACAACAAACCCAUCGCUGACCCCCUUCACCGCCACUGCUUGCUACAUGUGAGAACUGUAAUCAGAUACGUACAGCGGUGUGUCAAGAAUUCAUUCAUAUUGAGCUGAAAGACCCCAAAAGUGCUCAUCAUCUCUCCAACCGGAGAGCACAAGGAAAAAAAACAACUACUACAUAAUAACACUCUGAAAUCCUCCAUUAUUCCAGCUGAGACAUCUGCUUCUGUAAUGAAACCAACAAACAAACAUGCAUAAUUCAAGCAGCCAGUCGGUUCUGCAUUGAGUGGAAAUGAGCAAAAAAACAAGAGUCCAAUAAUUAUUGCUGCGGAAAAAUGAUGGAAGUACCACACUUAGACCUAAACGGCCUUAUUUACACUCAUUUGUUAGGAGCAAUUCAGGAGGUUCACUUGUGUAGAGUGUGUGUGUGUGUGUAAAUAGUAAAUGGACUGCACUUAUAUAGUGCUUUUCUAGUCUUAUUGACCACUCAAAGGGGGGGUUUGUGUGUGUACAGAGUUUCUACUGCAGAUGGGAAAGUGCUAGUGUCUUUUUUUUUGAGGUUACAUAAGGUUAAAAUAAACAGUCUGUCUGAAAAUUAGGUGGAUAAGAGUUGGGGAGAUGUUGCAGCAGGGAAUAAAAUGUGGCGACUUGCCACACAUAGAAGAAAACAAGUAGUAAGUGUAGUAAAACAGGCAUAGACGGUGAGGAAGGGAUGCCAACAGACAUAGACACACACACACAUAGACUACAUCAACUUUCAUAAACCAUCCCUCUCCAUCAGCUUUGCAUACUCACUCGUCAGCCUCACUUGUUAUCUGUUACUGAACAACAUGCACUAGGGGAGUGAGAAAAACAGAAUAUGAAAAAUGGAAGAAAGGAAGUCAAGAGAGAGACAGGAAGAGGUGGGAGAGCAUGAAAAGAAAGAAGAGAAAACCAAGAGCAAAAGCUGUGAUGGACAGAGACCUCAAGGAGAUAGGGAGAGGAGAAAUUAGCCGAGACGGCCAAAAAAGAAAGAAAGAGACGAAAGGAUGGAGAAAGAAGAAAUCGACAAUUAAAGACAAAGAGCGAGGGGGAGAUGAAUUAUGCAUCGGUGUGACUAGAGGGCAGGAGGAAACCAAUCUUGAGGGGAGGAGAUGCCAGACUGAUACAAGCUCUGCUUAUCUCUAGAGUGACCUUCUCUACCUGUCCCACUCCUCCGCUAAAGGCAGUCCAACUGAAGACGGGAAAAUGAGAAAGAAAGAAAAGGCAGAAGAUGACUCCUGAAGAAAAUCAAAAAAAAAAAAAAAAAGCGUGUGAACUGCAGAGAGUGAGGAGUGGAGAUAAAAAUAGAAAGAGAGGGACUGAUGUGUGAAUCAAAGAUACAGUAUGCUAAAAAAGAGAUGGAGAAAAAAAAGUCGGGAAGACGGGGCUUUUAGGGAUGAGGAUUUUUAAGGAUAAGAAGCAGAGGAGAAUGAGUACAGAUGGGAGACGGGGGAGGUGCAGGGAGAAGCACCUUGACUGAGCGUGUAGAGGUGAGAGGAGAUGAUGAAGUUGAUUGCUAUCUUUCUAUCUUUCCUUGGCUUAAGUGAAAAUAUCACUCUCUGGUCGAGCACACACUCACACACUCCACAGACAAACAGACAGGUGCAUUUCUAACGCACAUUUAAAGGAGCACUUUUACAUGAGGGAUUUCUAUACAGUUUCACUUGUUAAGGGGCGGGGUUUAGUUAAAAACACUGAUGUCGCAUACUUCCCUGCACCAAUCAGGAUGUAGGAACGUGUGAAUCAGAAUCUGGCGACAGUAGGAGGGUCGUUCGGUCCCUGUCCGUCGAAUCUGAUCCCUGCACGGUCCAGAUGAAGCAGAUUAACUGAGAUUAUGAAAGAUCUGUCUUCAAAUUUAAAGCUGCUAUGAGCAAUAUUUUUAUAUUAACAAUGGAUCAUGUGGCUGCUUGUAUCUAAAAAGUUGGUCAAGAAAAAGAAAAAAGAAUUAGCACCUGUAUCUAGUAGUUUCCUUCAGCUCUACCAAGCAGUUUAGCAUCUUACAGCUCAUUGUUUUGGUUUUUCCAGCUUGCAGCUUUAAUGUUUCGCUUCACCCUCACUGUUUCCAUCAGCAUCGUCAUUUAGCAGCUAAAGAGCCAAACAAAAGAAUAAAUACUGGACUUAACAUUCAUCAGAUCACUAUAAACAGACUCCAGAUAAAUACUUAUGCUGCUCUGUAUUGGCUGGGUUUAUAAAUAGGCGCCAGAUUGCUAACAAGUUCACCAUAUCAGCUUGCAAGAUGAUAAUAUGUCAGUGUUGUGUUUACAGCUUCUUUCUGCUGCUCCCAAGUUAACCUCAAAAAUCUGUUAUUGCCAAUUUAAUGUUAAACAGAAACCAGACUUAAAACACACACACACACACACACAUAAAUAUUCAAAUCAACAUUCUGGUAGCUUCUUUCUGUUAACCCCGUAAUGAUCUCAUUUGAAUGCUGCUUUCUGUGAUUUCGUGGUGUUGGUGUCAUGGUUGCUCAAUACUUUACACUCACAGAAAUGAUGAAACAGUGUUGCUAGUUGCUGGUGCGUCUAAUGCCCUUAUAAUUUCAUGCAGGGACGCGGGAUAGCCAGGAAGGUUUUCUUUACACCGGGUGAAGCAAACAC